GAUGAACGCUGGCGGCGUGCCUAAUACAUGCAAGUCGAGCGAACGGACGAGAAGCUUGCUUCUCUGAUGUUAGCGGCGGACGGGUGAGUAACACGUGGAUAACCUACCUAUAAGACUGGGAUAACUUCGGGAAACCGGAGCUAAUACCGGAUAAUAUUUUGAACCGCAUGGUUCAAAAGUGAAAGACGGUCUUGCUGUCACUUAUAGAUGGAUCCGCGCUGCAUUAGCUAGUUGGUAAGGUAACGGCUUACCAAGGCAACGCUGCAUAGCCGACCUGAGAGGGUGAUCGGCCACACUGGAACUGAGACACGGUCCAGACUCCUACGGGAGGCAGCAGUAGGGAAUCUUCCGCAAUGGGCGAAAGCCUGACGGAGCAACGCCGCGUGAGUGAUGAAGGUCUUCGGAUCGUAAAACUCUGUUAUUAGGGAAGAACAUAUGUGUAAGUAACUGUGCACAUCUUGACGGUACCUAAUCAGAAAGCCACGGCUAACUACGUG
rnacentral:rRNA from 1 species